rnacentral:tRNA from 1 species
GUGUCCGUAGCUCAGCCGGAUAGAGCAACGGCCUUCUAAGCCGUGGGUCGGGGGUUCGAAUCCCUUCGGGCACA